AAGUCGUAACAAGGUCUCCGUUGGUGAACCAGCGGAGGGAUCAUUACCGAGUUAUACAACUCAUCAACCCUGUGAACAUACCUAUAACGUUGCCUCGGCGGGAACAGACGGCCCCGUAACACGGGCCGCCCCCGCCAGAGGACCCCCUAACUCUGUUUCUAUAAUGUUUCUUCUGAGUAAACAAGCAAAUAAAUUAAAACUUUCAACAACGGAUCUCUUGGCUCUGGC
rnacentral:misc_RNA from 1 species